UACGAAGGGUGCAAACGUUGCUCGGAAUUAUUGGGCGUAAAGCGCACGUAGGCGGCCAACUAAGUCGGACGUGAAAUCCCUCGGCUUAACCGGGGAACUGCGUCCGAUACUGGAUGGCUUGAGUUUGGGAGAGGGAUGCGGAAUUCCAGGUGUAGCGGUGAAAUGCGUAGAUAUCUGGAGGAACACCGGUGGCGAAGGCGGCAUCCUGGACCAACACUGACGCUGAGUGAGCGAAAGCCAGGGGAGCAAACGGG
rnacentral:rRNA from 1 species